rnacentral:lncRNA from 1 species
UAUAUAAUAAUUCUAUAGUGACAAUAUUGUUUACAUUAUCUUCUAUGAGCCAAGGAAUGUAAAAAUACUUUAAUCAUAUAAUAAGACAUUUUUAUGAUUGUCGAAGAAAUGGAAAGAUCAUAGAAACAUAAAUGAAAUUGUGAAGAAAAUUAUAAUAGUAUCAAUAUUAUAAUGACACAUAAAAUUAUACGUUUGGCAUUAAUCUAUAAUUAUUUUCCACAAUAGUCCCCCUCUUCACACACUCACAUUUAUAAUUAACGCACUUUGCUGUUAAAGGACGAUGACAUGCUUUAUAUUUACAAUCAGCAAUAAUUUCACAAUCGAUUGGAUCUGCAUGAGAAAUAAAAAAUAAAGAUUAUCCCCCUAAAAAAAAUUAAAAAUUGUUAUUAAAAAUAGUGUGUGUAUGAUAUAAAAGAAAAUUUGAAGAGUUUAGUUAGUAUACAUUUAUAAUACAAAAUCAUUUUUCACAUGCAUCAAAUGAUGUGUUGCCACAUCAAUAAAUAAAUAUGACACCUCACAUAUUUUUAAACGCAAUAAAUGAUGUGGCAAUACAUCAUUAAAUGCGUUUGUAAAAUACCUUUACAUUAUUGGUGCAUACUAAUUAUGAAGAAGUGACUUACUAAAUGGCUUGCGAAAACAAGUUAUAACAACAAACAAAGAAAUAAAGAUUAUCAAAGUAUAACUAAAUUUAGGAAUUUC